AAAUUUGAUAUAUAUACAUAAACACACAUGUUGUUCCUUAAGGACCUUCCCCUUUGGAGGUGAAAGAAGGUGCAUUUUAUUGCUCUCGUAUCAUCAUUCCACGGAAGUUUUGACAUAAUAAGCCAAUUUUCUAGAUUACUAGUGAGGAAAAUGUGCGUUGCAUGUUAGUUAGUGAAUGUUAAAUAUAAGUAUUUGAUGGCUUUGAAUGGACAUACGCGGCAGAUCUUAAAGAAGCAGCCAAUUUAAUAGCAGUUAAUUCCCUUCUAACUUGUUAUUGAAAUAUUAGAAAUACAGUAAAAUAGAAAUUUAACCUUGGAAUUAGGUAAAAAGGGACCCUCAAAUAUAAAUUCUCCAUGUGGAUUAUAUAAAAAGAGCUCUCAAAUAUGAAUUCUCCAUAGAAAGAGAGUGAAUUGAUGGAUCUACCUGAAACUUCUACUAAAACAUACUCUUAGAGUCCGUUAGAUUGCAAAGAUGAAAUUUGGGUGGAAAGAAAACGAAUUUCAGGAAAUUGAAUUGUCUAAAAAUUGUUUUACUGGGAAUUGUCAAUUAUUGUGUUUGAUUGGUAUAAUUUUUCAAGUAGAAAAUAUUAAAAUAAAAGUGUUUUUUGAUGUUUGUUUGAUUUUGUUUUAUAUGAAGUUAUCAAUUAAAUGGAUAAAAUUUACUGAUAUUGGAGAUAAAAUUUGUUUUCGUU
rnacentral:lncRNA from 1 species